GGCCUUUUGAAUUUAAUUUAAGGUCUGACCUGCCCAGUGAUUAAUUUAACGGCCGCGGUAUAUUGACCGUGCAAAGGUAGCAUAAUCAUUAGUCUUUUAAUAGAGGGCUGGAAUGAAUGGUUUAACGAGGAACUAGCUGUCUCAUUUUAUUUGUUUUAAAAUUUAAUUUUUUAGUUAAAAAGCUAAAAUCUUAUUGGAAGACGAGAAGACCCUAUAGAUCUUUAUAUAAUUUUUUGUAAGCAUUUUUAUAUUAAUAUAAUUACAUUAAAAUUAUAUUUUGUUGGGGUGACAAAAAUAUAUAAAUAACUUUUUCAUUUAUUUACCAUUGAUAUAUGAAUAUUAGAUCCAUUAUUAGUGAUUGUUAGAAUAAGUUACCUUAGGGAUAACAGCGUAAUCCUCCUCCAGAGUUCAUAUUUACAGGAGGGCUUGCGACCUCGAUGUUGGAUUAAGAUAAUAAUUAGGUGUAGCCGCUUAAUGUAUAGGUCUGUUCGACCUUUAAAUUCUU
rnacentral:rRNA from 1 species